rfam:Chlorocebus sabaeus isolate 1994-021 chromosome 14, whole genome shotgun sequence.
GCCGGGCAUGGCGGUGCAUGCCUACAGUCCCAGCUACUCGGGAGGCUGAGGCAGGAGGAUCGCCUGAACACAAGAGGCAGAGGUUGCGGUGGGCCGAGAUUGCGCCACUGCAAAAAAAAAAAAAAGGUUACUUUUUUUACUUUUUUUUUUGAGACGGAGUCUCACUCUGUUGCCCAGGCUGGAGUGCAGUGGCAUAAUCUCGGCUCACCGCAACCUCUGCCUCUUGUGUUCAGGUGAUUCUCCUGCCUCAG